GGGCAGGGGAGGCCGGGGCGGGGCGCAGGGAGCGCCCAGCCCAGGGGCCGAGCCCGCGCCAACCCUUCCCUCCUGCCGCUCUCUGCAGCUGGCAGAGGACAGCAGCAGAGCGGCCGAGCACCUGCGCCGGGCCCUGCCCUACCUGCAGAGCCCACAGGAGCCCCUGCGAGAGGCGGCCGCCAGGUUCAUGGGGAUGGCCGGGCGCUACCUGAAGGGACAGCCAGCAGAGCUUCGCCUUCUCCCUCAGGGUGAGUGCGGGCAGCGGGCUGGCAGCGGGGGCUGGCCGGGAGAUCUGCAGUGCCGGGCAGGGAGCUGCGAUCCCUGUCCCGGCUGCGGCGAGCUUCGCUCCUUGAGUGGACCAGGGCUGGUGUGGGCAGGGCACAGAGAGAUUUCAGGGACAGGUCGGGGAGUCUUGGCAAGUACCUCCCAGCUGAUUCCCGUGUCUCCUACUCCCUUCGUGGUGGAGUGGGCCGGUUCAGAAAGUCUCCUCGGAUUCCCACAGAUCCAGGAUCUGACUGUGUCUCUGUUACUGUCUCUUCCAGCCCUUCAAGCCAAGAGGCAAGAUGCCAGCCCAUCAUGCUCUAACUGGAAAAUCAAGUCCAGUUUCAGCAAAGAGCUAAAAAAUGAAUUUCAUCUUCAGGAUCCAGUGAAUCAGUGUCCUAAGAACAAUACCAGGAGGCAUUGAAGAGGACAUAAUCUCCCAGUGCUGCUGGAACUCCUGGCAUAGCUGCUGCUGGGCACAAUUCAUCCUGCCUGUAGAUAGCUCCCUCCCUCCAGCCCUCAGACACUGCCCAUCCCCAUUUUUACUCUCCACAAAUCCGCCCUUUUGAUAGCUCUGUCUCACCAGCAGUCAGACCCUGCCCAUUCCCUUAUUUUACCUCCCAGCUCAUCCCUUUGUUUCACCUUGCAUAAACAGUUUGGCUUCUUCACUAUGCUUCCAUCUCUGUGGAGCUGGAGCAGCGCAAAUCCCGGGCCCUGGGACACACAGGCCCCUGCUGCGGUUCUCUUCCAUGCCCUCUUCUGUGCACGCACACAGAGGAAGGAGGGCAGAUGAGGCUGGAAAGGUGCCUGUGCUGAAGGUGCACUUCCACAACAAGGUGGAGUUGCAGAUCCUGCUGAGCACCCUGGAGCCCAUGGAAUUUGGAAGAGCCAACCUGAGUAUGCUCUGUAGCCAGUUGUGAGGGAUUCCAUGGCAAGCUUCCACGCAGGGCAAAGGAGCUGGGAAUGCUGGAAGUUUUCAAGAAGAGCUUCCUGAAAGCUCAGCAGUGCCCCAUCCCUGCACAGGAUCAGGGAGAGGGCAGAAGCAGCGACCAUCCGGGCUUAACAGGGAGCUUUGGGUGUGCCUAAGGGCAAAUGAAGCAGCAGCGCGGUGCCCGAGACUGGGAGGCGCGACCCUGCCAGUGCCCGGAGCGCUGCCAGGCAGUGCCGGGAUGCCGGCUGUGGUUCUGGUGCCCGCAAGUGAGGAAUGGCAGCCCCAGACUCGGAGCCAGUCAGAAAGCCAACCGAGUGAGACCAGAGGGAGGGCACCCUUCCAGUCCCUCUUGGGCAUGGCCGCAAAACAGCCCCUGCUGCUUCUUCCUCCGCCUGUGUUUGGGGUGUGCUGGUGGCAGAGGCAGCCAGGUUGUGCUCGGCCUUCCAGAGCCUGUUGGGAGCGGGCAUGAAAAGCGCUGCUUGCACAGUGCAGA
ensembl:lncRNA